rnacentral:tRNA from 1 species
AGGGGCGUAGUUCAAUUGGUAGAGCACCGGUCUCCAAAACCGGGUGUUGGGGGUUCGAGUCCCUCCGCCCCUGCCAAAA